GUUUAUGUAGCUUAAAUAAAGCAUGGCACUGAAAAUGCCAAUAUAGAUUUUUAAAAAAUCUCAAAAACG
rnacentral:tRNA from 1 species